CCCAUAUUUUUUUAGCCGACAUGCAUAUUGAAAUAUGAUUAAAUUCAUUAGCAUCUAAAGCACAAUAUAAAAUAUUCAUAACUUUGGUAUUGAGUUGAGCCAUUUUCUUGUCAACCUCAUCCCAUUCUCUUUCGAAUUUGGUUGAUUCUACACCAUUAAUUAUCUUAGUAUGAGUGUGUAGUCCAUUAACUAUAAUGCUCUACAUAUCAUAGUCAAGUACUU
rnacentral:lncRNA from 1 species